rnacentral:rRNA from 1 species
CCCUUAGAUGUUCUGGGCCGCACGCGCGCUACACUGACGAAGUCAGCGAGCAUGUCCUACGCCGACAGGUGCGGGGAAUCUUGUCAAACUUCGUCGUGAUGGGGAUUGAUUAUUGAAAUUCUUGAUCAUCAACGAGGAAUUCCUAGUAAGCGCAAGUCAGCAGCUUGCGUUGAUUACGUCCCUGCCCUUUGUACACACCGCCCGUCGCUACUACCGAUUGAAUGGUUUAGUGAGAUCUUCGGAUUGGCGCCACUGCGGCUCAGCAAUGGGCUCGGUGGAUGCCGAAAAGUUGAUCAAACUUGAUCAUUUAGAGGAAGUAAAAGUCGUAAUA